rnacentral:rRNA from 1 species
UGGGGAAUAUUGGACAAUGGGGGCAACCCUGAUCCAGCAAUGCCGCGUGUGUGAAGAAGGCCUGCGGGUUGUAAAGCACUUUCAGUAGAGAAGAAAAGCUAAAGGUUAAUACCCUUGAGUCUUGACGUAACCUACAGAAGAAGCACCGGCUAACUCCGUGCCAGCAGCCGCGGUAAUACGGAGGGUGCGAGCGUUAAUCGGAAUUACUGGGCGUAAAGCGCGCGUAGGCGGUUUUGUAAGUCGGAUGUGAAAUCCCUGGGCUUAACCUGGGAACUGCAUUCGAUACUGCAUAACUAGAGUAUGGUAGAGGGAAGUGGAAUUUCCGGUGUAGCGGUGAAAUGCGUAGAUAUCGGAAGGAACACCAGUGGCGAAGGCGACUUCCUGGGCCAAUACUGACGCUGAGGUGCGAAAGCGUGGGGAGCAAACAGG